GACGAACGCUGGCGGCGUGCCUAAUACAUGCAAGUAGAACGCACAGUUUAUACCGUAGCUUGCUACACCAUAGACUGUGAGUUGCGAACGGGUGAGUCACGCGUAGGUAACCUGCCGGGUAGCGGGGGGUAACUAUUGGAAACGUUAGCUAAUAUCGCAUAAUAUUAAUUAUUGCAUGAAAAUUAAGUGAAAGGUGCAAUUGCACCACUACUAGCUGGUCCUGCGUUGUGUUUGCUAGUUGGUGAGGUAACGGCCCACCUAGGCGGAGAUACAUAGCCGACCUUGGAGGGUGGUCCGCCAACCUGGGACUGGGGCACGGCCCAGACUCCCUCCGGGAGCAGCCAGAGGGGAUCUUCGGCCAUUGACGGAAGUCCGACCGAGCAACGCCGGGUGAGUGAAGGAAGGUUUCGGAUCGGAAAGCUCUGUUUUAAGGGAAGAAAGGGUGUGAGAGUGGAAAGUUCACACUGUGACGGUACCUUAACAGAAAGCGACGGCUAACUACGUG
rnacentral:rRNA from 1 species